GAUGAAGAACGUAGCGAAAUGCGAUAAGUAAUGUGAAUUGCAGAAUUCAGUGAAUCAUCGAAUCUUUGAACGCACAUUGCGCCCCUUGGUAUUCCGAGGGGCAUGCCUGUUCGAGCGUCAUAUUAACCACUCCCGCUUGCGGGGUCUUGGGCUUCGCCUCCGGGCGGGCCUUAAAAUCAGUGGCGGUGCCGUCGGGCUCUACGCGUAGUAAAUUUUCUCGCGAUAGGGUCCCGGUGGAUGCUUGCCAACAACCCCCAACUUCUUAAGGUUGACCUCGGAUCAGGUAGGGAUACCCGCUGAACUUAAGUAUAUCAAUAAGCGGAGGA
rnacentral:misc_RNA from 1 species